UAGACUUGACAUCUCCUGAAUUACUCGUAAUAGAGGAAGUCCCUUCGGGGACAGGAAGACAGGUGGUGCAUGGUUGUCGUCAGCUCGUGUCGUGAGAUGUUGGGUUAAGUCCCGCAACGAGCGCAACCCCUUUUAUUAGUUGCUACCAUUAAGUUGAGCACUCUAGUGAGACUGCCCGGGUUAACCGGGAGGAAGGUGGGGAUGACGUCAAAUCAUCAUGCCCCUUAUGUCUAGGGCUACACACGUGCUACAAUGGCUAGUACAAAGAGACGCAAACCCGCGAGGGGGAGCAAAUCUCAAAAACUAGUCCCAGUUCGGAUUGUAGGCUGAAACUCGCCUACAUGAAGCCGGAGUUGCUAGUAAUCGCGAAUCAGAAUGUCGCGGUGAAUACGUUCCCGGGCC
rnacentral:rRNA from 1 species